rnacentral:lncRNA from 1 species
UCAUUUUUGGACAUUAUCGAUUCAAUGAUUUAUUUUUAUACUUUGAACCGUUGACAUACUUUCGUAGUAAUGAAGCUCUCACACUUGAAUUCCCAAAGAAACUCAAAUUCACAAAACUUAAAUUAGAUAUUGCAUUCUGUGUUUCUUGUAGGAAUCUCUCCUUUAUGAACUAAUUGUUCAUAAAAACUAAAUUGAACUUGUAGUUGCAUAUUUAGUGCCUUUGAAACUUGAAUUUUUCAUUCAAAACUUACCACAUGAAACCUGUAGCUUUCAUGCAUAAAUUAAACCAAUACAUGUCUAUAGAACCCGAAUGUUCUACGAUAUAUAUCUAUGGCUUCCCAUAUGACGAAUCACGUUUUUGUACCCUUCGUUUUAGGGACAUGUCGAACUUGAGAAAGCUCGAUUUCACCGCUCUGGAAGUAUCUGGA